rnacentral:rRNA from 1 species
UACAGAGGUCUCAAGCGUUGUUCGAUUCAUUGGGCGUAAAGGGUGCGUAGGUGGCGCUGUAAGUCGGGUGUGAAAUUUCGGAGCUUAACUCCGAAACUGCAUUCGAUACUGCGGUGCUUGAGGACUGGAGAGGAGACUGGAAUUCAUGGUGUAGCAGUGAAAUGCGUAGAGAUCAUGAGGAAGACCAGUGGCGAAGGCGGGUCUCUGGACAGUUCCUGACACUGAGGCACGAAGGCCAGGGGAGCAAACGGG